UAGAGCUUUCAUCCGAGAUGUAACUGUUCU
rnacentral:piRNA from 1 species